CCAUUUGGAGGCUGGUGAACCUGACAACUUACACAACCUACAUUUGCAAAGCCCAGUUAUUUUCUGACUAAUGGGUCAGAAAGAGGGGGCAGAAGAGGAGAGAGAAAUCUUCACCAAACAAACAGCCAGGCCAUCUGGGUGGAGUUGCUUAAGGCAGUCACAAAAAAAUGAUCACAUCAUUUACCUCUCAUUUAACAAGGGCAGAGCAGGGAUACUAGCUGUGAGACACUUCUGCUCCGGGAAAGUUCCCCUCAGCCUUUUGAGUGUUGGUCGCUGAUCGUGGUUAUGGAGGAGGUGUCUUCAAAAGCAUCAAGGAAAAAAUAUCAAAUAUUUUGAUAUUUGAUAUCAAAUAUCAAAAUUUGCCAUGGUGCCCAGCAUGGUUCAAGAUCAUAAGUGUCAAGCACAUCAGGGCAAGAAUCUUCUGUUCCAUAUGCAACAUCUUCUGGCAGCCUUGUCCUUUUUCUGUCCUUGACGACUACAAUAACAAACAGCUGUUGCCGAGGCAUUGCUGUUGACGUGUUACCUUUGAAACCUCCCUCCUGUUAUGGAAUAAGCCUCUUCCAGAUCAUGGCUCAUUAUCAUCUAGUCUGACAAGCAGCCUUGUUGCCACGGAGACCCAAAGGGAUCAGGCGUGGCAUUUGCCUGCAUCAUCACCCCCUCCAGGGGAACUAUAAGGACUCUUCUGUGCGUCAUGCGUGGCUGUCCUGGGACUGGCUGCCACCAGACUUUUCCUGCGGGUAAAACCUAAACAAAUGAUCAGCUGCAGAUAAUAUCAAGACCUCUGUUUGAUAUGUUAAUAGUGACAGCCAGAUUUCCACAAUUAACAACGAGGUGGGAAGAAAACACUGUAGUCACCAGACUUGGGAGGAGAGGGUUUGUAUUCACAUAAACACAACCUCACGUCACUGCUUGCCACCACAAAGGGCUCUGUUCACUGUUUUGUUCUCAAAGAUCAUCCUUGCGCUCAUCCUCUGAUCUUGAAUUUCUACAUAACUUUCUCAGUUUAUAUGCCCUGUGGCAAGUGCAGCAAGCACUGUUUCCUGUUUCUAAACUUGUAGAAAAUCAUCCAUACAUCUUACAGUUGUCAGUUUUAACCAGAUAACAGUGGCACUUUGUUGCUGCUUUUUUAUCUUUAGCUUAGGUUAACAGGACCCUGGAAGUAAAGUUGUUGAUUUAUUCAAUAGAGUAUUCUCAAUUAAUUUGGCUAGAUUUCUACAUGAUUCAAAAUCUAAAAAAGUAGAAAUGCAUGCUUACAUGUCUAAGGCCUGAAAAAUUGGUAGUGACAUCCCAAAAUAAAUGAAGGUUUUAAAACAAUAA
rnacentral:lncRNA from 1 species